rnacentral:rRNA from 1 species
AAAACGACUCUCGGCAACGGAUAUCUCGGCUCUCGCAUCGAUGAAGAACGUAGCGAAAUGCGAUACUUGGUGUGAAUUGCAGAAUCCCGUGAACCAUCGAGUCUUUGAACGCAAGUUGCGCCCCAAGCCAUUAGGCCGAGGGCACAUCUGCCUGGGUGUCACGU